CCCUUAGAAGUUCUGGGCCGCACGCGCGCUACACUGAUGCAUUCAACGAGUUUCUUCCUGGUCCGAGAGGAAUGGGUAACCUUUUGAAAGUGCAUCGUGAUAGGGAUAGACUAUUGCAAUUAUUGGUCUUCAACGAGGAAUUCCUAGUAGACGUAGUUCAUCAGACUGCAUCGAUUACGUCCCUGCCCUUUGUACACACCGCCCGUCGCUCCUACCGAUUGAAUGCUCAGGUGAGCCAUUCGGACUUUCAUCAUGCUGGUUUCCAGUUUUGAUGAAGGAAAGUCUUGCGAACCUUAUCAUUUAGAGGAAGGAGAAGUCGUAACA
rnacentral:rRNA from 1 species